rnacentral:lncRNA from 12 species
GGGGGGGGGGGGGGGGGGGGGGGGGGGGGGGGGGGGGGGUCCUGCUGAACCGCUCUUCCGAUCUGAUCUUGGAAUGGUUUGGGCUGGAAGGGACCUCAAAGCCCAUCCCUCUGGGGACAGCGCAGGGUGUCUGUCCCUCUCACCCUGGGGUGAGCACCCUGAGCACCCCCUGGUGUGACACAGCCAGAGACCCCCAGCCCCGCCAUUCCCGCCAGGAGAGCCCUGAAACCCCCCAGCACCGCCCAGGGAGGAGGGGGACGGAGACACCCCCGGCCCCCCCGCGCUCCCCGCCCGCCCGAGGGUCUCCGUGCUCCUCUGCGCGGGGCGGGGGCGGCUUUGACCGUGGUUUGGGUGGCGAGUGACUCAUUGGGAGAGCAGAGAUCAGGCACAGCACUUGAUGUGAUUUUUGCCAACUUUAUUUGGUCUUUAGCUGUUUUGAACCGGGGCGAUGGCCAAACCCCUCCGAUGUGGGGGGGCCGGCGCGGUCCCUCGCUGUCCCGGUGCUUGUCUGUCCUUGCCUUUGUUGAGCCGGGGCGGUGUCCGACCCUCUCCCAUUUGGGGGGGCCGGUGUGCUCUCCAUCCACCUUACCUUUGCCAGGCCGUGCUGUCUUUGUCGCCUUUGGGGGGGGUGGGGGAGAAGCUCUGUCGGUGUCCGUCGUCCUUGCCCCCGGGGGCAUGCUCCCCCCCGUAUCCGCCCUCACCCCGGGGGAUGCUCUGUCCGUGUCCCUCGUUGCCCCGGGGAGAUGCUCUGUCGGGGUCCGUCGCCCUCGCCGCCGUGUCCCUCGUCCGUAGCUCACCCGGGGGAUGCUCCAGGGGGUGUCCGUUGUCGUCGCCCCGAUGUCCACCGUCCCCAUCCCGGGGGGGGCUGCUGUCGGUGUCCGUCGUCCUUGCCCCCGGGGGGAUGCUCACCCCCGUAUCCGCCCUCACCCCGGGGGAUGCUCUGUCCGUGUCCCUCGUUGCCCCGGGGGGAUGCUCUGUCGGUGUCCACCCUCCUCACCCCAAGGAGAGAACCGGGGAGUGGGGUGUCUCCGUCCUUAUCCUGUGUGGAGAUAUGGGGGGGUCAGGUCACCGCAGUCUUCCUCCAUCAUGGAGGGGGCCGGGUGAUCUGUGCUUAUCGCUGUGUGGGCUCGGGUGGUCUCCGUGGAGCGGAGUCACGGGUGGGCUCUCCGCGCCCUUCGUUGCUGGGCAGACCGCUCCGUGGGUCUCCUCCCGGUGCGCUGCUCGCGGCUCCUCUCCCGGGUUCGCCUCCUCCUGCCGCCGCCGCCGCCCCCCCCCCCCCCCCCCCCCCCCCCCCCCCCCCCCCCCCCCCCCCCCCCCCCCCCCCCCCCCCCCCCCCCCCCCCCCCCCCCCCCCCCCCCCCCCCCCCCCCCCCCCCCCCCCCCCCCCCCCCCCCCCCCCCCCCCCCCCCCCCCCCCCCCCCCCCCCCCCCCCCCCCCCCCCCCCCCCCCCCCCCCCCCCCCCCCCCCCCCCCCCCCGGAGCAGCCAGUGUUCCGCAUUGUGAGGACACAGAGAGGAGGCGUGACCAAGCGUGACGGAGCGAUCUGAUUGGUCAGAAGAACAUUCCCAGCUCUCCCAGCCCGGCUCCAGAGCAGCCCCAGCAGUUCCACAUCCUCCAGGUGAGGUCCCAGUUCUGCAGGUGGGGUCUCACCUGAGCGGGGCCCAGGGACAGAAUCCCCCCGGAGCCCAGGGCACCUCUGCGGUCAUGUCCAGCCUCUCAGCCACCCACACCGUGCCCAUUGUGGGAGCUGCAGCGGUGACACCAAUUAUACCAAAUGAACAACCUCACGGUGUUGCUGUUAUUUUUCAUCCCCUGUGGAGCUGCCGUGCUCGCUGCCGGGUCAGGAUUCAGGUUUUCAGCUCAGCACCAGCGGCUCUUCCGCACCCGCCCCCCCCCCCCCCCCCCCCCCCCCCCCCCCCCCCCCCCCCCCCCCCCCCCCCCCCCCCCCCCCCCCCCCCCCCCCCGCACCCGCGGAGCCGCGCAGGUGCCGGGACGGCGCAAACCUGUGUCAAUCACUUUUCCGCUGAAUCCCAUUGGCUGGCACGGGGAAGGGGGCGGGCUUUGCCGCGCUAUAUAAAAGGCGAGCGGCCGCGUUUUCUCCCCCCCCCCCCCCCCCCCCCCCCCCCCCCCCCCCCCCCCCCCCCC